CACAAAUGUUCAAUGGUUUUUGGAUAUCUGGUUAAAUGAGAACUUAGAGAAUUUCAAGUUAUAAAACAAACAUACUUGCAAUGUAAAAUAAAUUAUAAAGACUUUGAACAAAAAGCACAGUUAAGAACUUUUUACGUUGUAGAAAAUAAACUAGAUGCAAAGAAGACGGAAGAGUAGUUAUUGAUAUAACAUAGCUGAAAGCCGAUAUUUUGUAUGUAAUAUUGAUAAAUUUGAUCUUUAAUGUAAAACCAUUACAAACUA